rnacentral:rRNA from 1 species
UUGAACGCUGGCGGCAUGCCUUACACAUGCCAGUCGAACGGUAACGGGCCUUCGGGUGCCGACGAGUGGCGAACGGGUGAGUAAUACAUCGGAACGUGCCCGAUCGUGGGGGAUAACGAGGCGAAAGCUUUGCUAAUACCGCAUACGAUCUACGGAUGAAAGCAGGGGACCGCAAGGCCUUGCGCGGACGGAGCGGCCGAUGGCAGAUUAGGUAGUUGGUGGGAUAAAAGCUUACCAAGCCGACGAUCUGUAGCUGGUCUGAGAGGAUGAUCAGCCACACUGGGACUGAGGCACGGCCCAGACUCCUACGGGAGGCAGCAGUGGGGAAUUUUGGACAAUGGGCGCAAGCCUGAUCCAGCCAUGCCGCGUGCAGGAUGAAGGCCUUCGGGUUGUAAACUGCUUUUGUACGGAACGAAAAGCCUUCUUUUAAUACAGGAGGGUCAUGACGGUACCGUAAGAAUAAGCACCGGCUAACUACGUG